UACAGAGGUCUCAAGCGUUGUUCGGAUUCAUUGGGCGUAAAGGGUGCGUAGGCGGCGCGGUAAGUCGGGUGUGAAAUCUCGGGGCUUAACUCCGGAACUGCAUUCGAUACUGCCGUGCUUGAGGACUGGAGAGGAGACUGGAAUUUACGGUGUAGCGGUGAAAUGCGUAGAUAUCGUAAGGAAGACCAGUGGCGAAGGCGGGUCUCUGGACAGUUCCUGACGCUGAGGCACGAAGGCCAGGGGAGCAAACGGG
rnacentral:rRNA from 1 species